rnacentral:rRNA from 1 species
AACGAACGCUGGCGGCGCGCCUAAUACAUGCAAGUCGAGCGAGAAGGUGUAGCAAUACACUUGUAAAGCGGCGAACGGGUGAGGAAUGCAUGGGUAACCUACCCUCGAGUGGGGAAUAACUAGCCGAAAGGUUAGCUAAUACCGCAUACGUUUCCGGAACUUCGGUUUCGGAAAGAAAGCAAUACCGUGGGUAUUGCGCUCCUGGAUGGGCUCAUGUCCUAUCAGCUUGUUGGUGAGGUAACGGCUCACCAAGGCUUCGACGGGUAGCUGGUCUGAGAGGACGAUCAGCCACACUGGCACUGCGACACGGGCCAGACUCCUACGGGAGGCAGCAGUAAGGAAUAUUGCGCAAUGGACGAAAGUCUGACGCAGCGACGCCGCGUGGGGGAUGAAGGUCUUCGGAUUGUAAACCCCUUUCGGGAGGGAAGGAUGGGAGUGGGUAACCACUUGGACGGUACCUCCAGAAGCAGCCACGGCUAACUUCGUGCCAGCAGCCGCGGUAAU